UACGAAGGGGGCUAGCGUUGUUCGGAAUCACUGGGCGUAAAGCGCACGUAGGCGGAUCUUUAAGUCAGGGGUGAAAUCCCGAGGCUCAACCUCGGAACUGCCUUUGAUACUGGGGAUCUCGAGUCCGGGAGAGGUGAGUGGAACUGCGAGUGUAGAGGUGAAAUUCGUAGAUAUUCGCAAGAACACCAGUGGCGAAGGCGGCUCACUGGCCCGGUACUGACGCUGAGGUGCGAAAGCGUGG
rnacentral:rRNA from 1 species